rnacentral:tRNA from 1 species
UCUAAUAUGGCAGAACAGUGCAAUGAAUUUAAGCUUCAUAUACAAAGAGUAAUCUUUUAUUAGAA